rnacentral:rRNA from 1 species
UGAGCAAUCGAGGCUAGAGUGGCGGACGGGUGCGUAACACGUAUGCAACCUACCCUUCAGAGGGGGAUAGCUUUGGGAAACUGGAGAUAAUACCCCAUAAGAUCACGUUAUCGCAUGGUAGUGUGAUGGAAGUUUUGGCGCUGAAGGAUGGGCAUGCGUCUGAUUAGCUAGUUGGCGGGGUAACGGCCCACCAAGGCGACGAUCAGUAGCUGGUCUGAGAGGAUGAUCAGCCACACGGGCACUGAGACACGGGCCCGACUCCUACGGGAGGCAGCAGUAAGGAAUCUUGGUCAAUGGGGGGAACCCUGAACCAGCCAUGCCGCGUGCAGGAAGACGGUCCUCUGGAUUGUAAACUGCUUUUGUCGGGGAAUAAUAAGGCUCUAUAUGGGCUGAUGUCGGUACCCGAAGAAUAAGCACCGGCUAACUACGUGCCAGCAGCCGCGGUAAUACGUAGGGAGCAAGCGUUGUCCGGAUUUAUUGGGUUUAAAGGGUGCGCAGGCGGCUGUUUAAGUUAGUGGUGAAAGCGUCCUGCUUAACGGGAUACUCGCCAUUAAUACUGAACAGCUUGAGUAUACGUGAGGAAGUUGGAAUGCGUGGUGUAGCGGUGAAAUGCUUAGAUAUCACGCAGAACACCGAUUGCGAAGGCAGACUUCUGGCGUAAAACUGACGCUCAUGCACGAAAGUGUGGGGAUCAAACAGGAUUAGAUACCCUGGUAGUCCACACUGUAACCCGAUGAUCACUAGGUGUUGGGGAGCAAUCCUUAGUGCCCAAGCGAAAGCGAUAAGUGAUCCACCUGGGGAGUACGUUCGCAAGAAUGAAACUCAAAGGAAUUGACGGGGGCCCGCACAAGCGGUGGAGCAUGUGGUUUAAUUCGAUGAUACGCGAGGAACCUUACCUGGGCUAGAAUGCCUCUGACCGGCGCAAAAAGGUGUCUUUCCUUCGGGACAGAGUGCAAGGUGCUGCAUGGUUGUCGUCAGCUCGUGCCGUGAGGUGUUGGGUUAGGUCCCGCAACGAGCGCAACCCCUAUUGUUAGUUGCCAGCACAUAAUGGUGGGGACUCUAACAAGACUGCCUCCGCAAGGAGUGAGGAGGGUGGGGAUGACGUCAAAUCAUCAUGGCCCUUACGUCCAGGGCGACACACGUGCUACAAUGGCCGGUACAGCGGGAAGCCAACCUGCGAAGGUGAGCAAAUCCCUAAAAGCCGGUCUCAGUUCGGAUUGGAGUCUGCAACUCGACUCCAUGAAGUUGGAAUCGCUAGUAAUCGCGGAUCAGCCAUGCCGCGGUGAAUACGUUCCCGGGCCUUGUACACACCGCCCGUCAAGCCAUGGAAGCCGGGGGAACCUGAA